rnacentral:rRNA from 1 species
UACAGAGGUGGCAAGCGUUGCUCGGUAUCACUGGGCUUAAAGGGCGCGUAGGCGGUGCGGUACGGUUUCGGUGAAAUCCCUCGGCCCAACCGAGGAACAGCCGGAGCUACGGCCGGACUAGACGGCAUCAGGGGACAGUGGAACUCCCGGUGGAGCGGUGAAAUGCGUAGAUAUCGGGAGGAACGCCGGUGGCGAAAGCGACUGUCUUGGGUGCCUGUGACGCUGAGGCGCGAAAGCGUGGGGAGCGAACAGG